AGAGUUUGAUCCUGGCUCAGGAUGAACUCUAGCGACAGGCUUAACACAUGCAAGUCGAGGGGCAGCGGGGUUGGCAACGACCGCCGGCGACCGGCGCACGUGUGAGUAACACGUAUGCAACCUGCCCGCCACAGGGGGAUAACCGGGAGAAAUCCCGACUAAUACCGCGUACAGCCGGAGGGGGGCAUCCCCCGUCGGUGAGAGCUACGGCGGUGGCGGAUGGGCAUGCGGGGCAUUAGCUAGACGGCGGGGCAACGGCCCACCGUGGCGACGAUGCCUAGGGGUUCUGAGAGGAAGGUCCCCCACACUGGUACUGAGACACGGACCAGACUCCUACGGGAGGCAGCAGUGAGGAAUAUUGGUCAAUGGGCGGGAGCCUGAACCAGCCAAGUCGCGUGAGGGAUGAAGGUCCUAAGGAUUGCAGACCUCUUUUGCCGGGGAGCAACGGCCGCCACGCGUGGCGGAAUGAGAGUACCCGGAGAAAAAGCAUCGGCUAACUCCGUGCCAGCAGCCGCGGUAAUACGGAGGAUGCGAGCGUUAUCCGGAUUUAUUGGGUUUAAAGGGUGCGUAGGCGGACGUUCAAGUCGGCGGUCAAAUGGGCGGGCUCAACCCGUUCGCGCCGUCGAAACUGGGCGACUUGAGUAGGAGAGGGGCACGCGGAAUGCGCGGUGUAGCGGUGAAAUGCAUAGAUAUCGCGCAGAACUCCGAUCGCGAAGGCAGCGUGCCGGCUCCUCACUGACGCUGAAGCACGAAAGCGUGGGGAUCGAACAGGAUUAGAUACCCUGGUAGUCCACGCAGUAAACGAUGAGCACUAGGUGUGCGGCCGGAUUGGGCUGCGUGCCACAGCGAAAGCGUUAAGUGCUCCACCUGGGGAGUACGCCGGCAACGGUGAAACUCAAAGGAAUUGACGGGGGCCCGCACAAGCGGAGGAACAUGUGGUUUAAUUCGAUGAUACGCGAGGAACCUUACCCGGGCUCGAACGGCGGGGGACGGGCACUGAAAAGUGCCUUCACGCGAGUGUCCCCGCCGAGGUGCUGCAUGGUUGUCGUCAGCUCGUGCCGUGAGGUGUCGGCUUAAGUGCCAUAACGAGCGCAACCCCCGCCGGCAGUUGCUAACGGGCAAUGCCGAGGACUCUGCCGGGACUGCCGGCGCAAGCCGCGAGGAAGGCGGGGAUGACGUCAAAUCAGCACGGCCCUUACGUCCGGGGCGACACACGUGUUACAAUGGCGGGUACAGCGGGAAGCGACCGUGCGAGCGGGAGCGGAGCCCGAAAACCCGUCUCAGUUCGGAUCGGAGUCUGCAACCCGACUCAAUGAAGCUGGAUUCGCUAGUAAUCGCGCAUCAGCCAUGGCGCGGUGAAUACGUUCCCGGGCCUUGCACACACAGCCCGUCA
rnacentral:rRNA from 1 species